rnacentral:rRNA from 1 species
UACGUAGGGCGCAAGCGUUGUCCGGAAUUAUUGGGCGUAAAGAGCUCGUAGGCGGUUUGUCGCGUCUGCUGUGAAAACCCGAGGCUCAACCUCGGGCCUGCAGUGGGUACGGGCAGACUAGAGUGUGGUAGGGGAGACUGGAAUUCCUGGUGUAGCGGUGGAAUGCGCAGAUAUCAGGAGGAACACCAAUGGGCGAAGGCAGGUCUCUGGGCCACAAC